AAAAGGUAGUUAUCAGCCUAUCGAUUUCAAGUCUCUUCCCUGAAUUCACUCUAUCUUCCUUUUUGCCUCUUUUUUGUCAUCUGAUCUGGAAAGAUGGGAGGGAGUUCCUAUUAAAGCAUAGAGAGAUGGGACUCUUCCUCAGAUGGGGUCUAUGAUAGCUGAGCUGAGGCUACAAUACCACCACAGCAAGUUUAACUGGUGCUCUGUUUCCAUGGCUACAUGUUGGUUUUAUUGCUUAUAAAUGAAUGUUAUUUGUUUUGGCAGAAAGAUCUGAAAUUUUCUCCCCUUUUUUGCCUGUUUUUGUUUAUAUUUAUAAUAUUUCGUUCAACUUGUUGAGCUGUGAACAAGGGGCAGGGAAGUUUUUUGAGCUGUCUGCAAGCCAGGUACAAGAGGCCCAUGUCAGAGAGAGAGAGAGAGAGAGAGAGAGAGAGGUAGAUUUCUCAAACACGAAGCCCUUGGAUCUGUUGUCUGAGAUCUGGCUGCAAGUGGGGAUGUUUGUGUAUGGACAGAGUACAAAAGAGAUUGAUUUCUGAACUCCAUUGUUCUCUUUCAUGGUAUGAGCUUUAUUUGUUUUACCGUGAAACUACUACAAACGUUAAACAAAGUUAUGGUUUCCCACGCCUCCUUGUUCUUCAAUCUUCCUGUUUCUGCUUCCUAUAUGAAGAGUAAAAUAUUUGUUUUUGGGUCAAAAUCAUCCCCAUAGGGACGGCAGCAUCCACCUAGUAUCUAUGCUUCAAAUUAAUAUUAGAUCUUGUGCUUGGGGUGGGGGACCAUUUAAGUGGGUAUUCUUUUUUCU